UAGGGAAUCUUCGGCAAUGGGGGCAACCCUGACCGAGCAACGCCGCGUGAGUGAAGAAGGUUUUCGGAUCGUAAAGCUCUGUUGUAAGAGAAGAACGUGUGUGAGAGUGGAAAGUUCACACAGUGACGGUAACUUACCAGAAAGGGACGGCUAACUACGUGCCAGCAGCCGCGGUAAUACGUAGGUCCCGAGCGUUGUCCGGAUUUAUUGGGCGUAAAGCGAGCGCAGGCGGUUUAAUAAGUCUGAAGUUAAAGGCAGUGGCUUAACCAUUGUUCGCUUUGGAAAAUGUUAAGCUUGAGUGCAGAAGGGGAGGGUAGAAUUCCAUGUGUAGCGGUGAAAUGCGUAGAUAUAUGGAGGAAGAACGGUGGCGAAGGCGGCUCUCUGGUCUGUAACUGACGCUGAGGCUCGAAAGCGUGGGGAGCAAACAGG
rnacentral:rRNA from 1 species